AGGGAGCUUGCUCCGCUGACGAGUGGCGAACGGGUGAGUAAUAUAUCGGAACGUACCCAAGAGUGGGGGAUAACGUAGCGAAAGUUACGCUAAUACCGCAUACGAUCCAAGGAUGAAAGCAGGGGACCUUCGGGCCUUGUGCUCCUGGAGCGGCCGAUAUCUGAUUAGCUAGUUGGUGAGGUAAAGGCUCACCAAGGCGACGAUCAGUAGCUGGUCCGAGAGGACGACCAGCCACACUGGAACUGAGACACGGUCCAGACUCCUACGGGAGGCAGCAGUGGGGAAUUUUGGACAAUGGGCGCAAGCCUGAUCCAGCAAUGCCGCGUGAGUGAAGAAGGCCUUCGGGUUGUAAAGCUCUUUUGUCAGGGAAGAAACGGCUGUGGCUAAUAUCCACGGCUAAUGACGGUACCUGAAGAAUAAGCACCGGCUAACUACGUGCCAGCAGCCGCGGUAAUACGUAGGGUGCAAGCGUUAAUCGGAAUUACUGGGCGUAAAGCGUGCGCAGGCGGUUUUGUAAGUCUGUCGUGAAAUCCCCGGGCUCAACCUGGGAAUUGCGAUGGAGACUGCAAGGCUAGAAUCUGGCAGAGGGGGGUAGAAUUCCACGUGUAGCAGUGAAAUGCGUAGAGAUGUGGAGGAACACCGAUGGCGAAGGCAGCCCCCUGGGUCAAGAUUGACGCUCAUGCACGAAAGCGUGGGGAGCAAACAGGAUUAGAUACCCUGGUAGUCCACGCCCUAAACGAUGUCUACUAGUUGUCGGGUUUUAAUUAACUUGGUAACGCAGCUAACGCGUGAAGUAGA
rnacentral:rRNA from 1 species